rnacentral:rRNA from 1 species
GACGAACGCUGGCGGCGUGCUUAACACAUGCAAGUCGAACGGGCCCGCCCCUGUUUUUGGGGGUGGGUUGAGUGGCGAACGGGUGAGUAUCACGUGAGUAACCUGCCCCCUGCUCCUGGAUAACUGCUUGAAAGGGCGGCUAAUACGGGGUGUGCCGGCUGGUCCGCAUGGGCCUGGUCGGGAUAGUUUCAUCUUCGGGUGUUUCGGUGGGGGAUGGGCUCGCGGCCUAUCAGCUUGUUGGUGGGGUGAUGGCCCACCAAGGCGGUGACGGGUAGCCGGCCUGAGAGGGUGGGCGGCCACACGGGGACUGAGACACGGCCCAGAAUCCUGCGGGAGGCAGCAGUGGGGGGUAUUGCACAAUGGGCGGAAGCCUGAUGCAGCGACGUCGCGUGAGGGAUGGAGGCCUUCGGGUUGUGAACCUCUUUCUCCGGUGGUGAAGGCCCUGUCCGUUGCGGCGGGGUUGACGGUAGCCGGGUAUGAAGCGCCGGCUAACUACGUG